UGGGGAAUUUUGGACAAUGGGCGCAAGCCUGAUCCAGCCAUGCCGCGUGCAGGAUGAAGGCCUUCGGGUUGUAAACUGCUUUUGUACGGAACGAAAAGACUCUGGUUAAUACCUGGGGUCCAUGACGGUACCGUAAGAAUAGGCACCGGCUAACUACGUGCCAGCAGCCGCGGUAAUACGUAGGGUGCGAGCGUUAAUCGGAAUUACUGGGCGUAAAGCGUGCGCAGGCGGUUAUAUAAGACAGAUGUGAAAUCCCCGGGCUCAACCUAGGAACUGCAUUUGUGACUGUAUAGCUAGAGUACGGCAGAGGGGGAUGGAAUUCCGCGUGUAGCAGUGAAAUGCGUAGAUAUGCGGAGGAACACCGAUGGCGAAGGCAAUCCCCUGGGCCUGUACUGACGCUCAUGCACGAAAGCGUGGGGAGCAAACAG
rnacentral:rRNA from 1 species